CCUCGUCCCUCUCUCUUUCUCUCUGCUGAGGUAUCUCGAUCUGUUGAAGUCUCUACAAGGUAAAACUAAUCGACUCUCUCUCUGUACAAGGUAACGGUGAGAUCGAUCUCGAUCUGUUGAAGUCCUAAAGCUAAGAUCGAUCCAAAGAGAUCAAACCAAGGUUGACCACCAAUAUCAUCCCUGUAAGCAUUAAAAGAAAGCAGCACCGAUUAAGGUGUAAGGUGCUCGGCAGGAGCUCCAAGCGAGGUGGGGAAGGAAGGGGAGAAGUGGAAGAGCGACUGAGACUAGAAAUAGAGGAUCCAGAGGGACAGUUUCUUCUCGGAAAAACAGGGGUGCCGCCCUUACUUCUUCGUUUCUGCAUUCCUAUUCGAAGUUCAAAUCAUGAAAUGCAACCUGGCAGUGUAUGAAGGGGUGGUCGAUCAUGUCUUCUUCCUGAUGCGCAAGAUACAGGGCAAAUCCUAAAUAUUUAUUCUCCUCCUAAUCAGACUGCCCUUGGUUCUUCUGUCUACCAGAAAGCAAACUUUUGAUGGAGCUAGGGUCUCCACACAAUUUUGGACGGGAAUGCGAUACUCAUUUUCUCCAUGAGGUGCUUACAAAGGAUCUAACAGAAAAAAACAGCCGCCAGACUCCCACUUCCACACCCUACCGUCUUCCCUUUCUAUGUUUAGCUGAGUAUCUUGGAGCAAGCAUAAGAAGCUGGUAGCAUUCUCUAUCUCCCAAUCCUGAAAAUUCCUGCAGAAAUGUGGUGUCCAAAUAAGAAGAGGGAGGAAGGUGAAACGUUGAGCAGUGGUAACAGUAAGAUGACAAUGGAGGGAAGCUUUGUGGAGGCAGGUUGAUGGAGAAGAAAUCUGAAAGUUUAAGCUAAGUACUUCCUGUUUGAGGAAGAGAAAGGUAGAGGAAAGCUGAGUUUGAAAAUAAGGGAAGCAAGGAGGGUUAUGGUUCUGUUGACUGGGAUAGAAGUAGUGGAAUGCCUGCAGAAGUUUGUGGAAGGGGCAAGAUUGAAUGGUAAGCAAAACAACAGGCAAGAGAUUGCAGCUGAUGAAGGUAAGAAAUAUAUAGUUGAAAGCAGAAAGAAUACAACGGGCUGCUACAUAGCUCUGGCUGAGUUUUUUAGGGAGGAAAGAAACAGCUGGUUUGUUUCCCAGCAGGAAGACAGUGUCAAGGUUGGAGGGAAGUGAGUAGUGUGCUUGAGGAAUUUUUGCUCCAUGGAGUAAAAGUAACAAAGGGGAGUCCAGGGAGGGAAGAAGGGGUGUAUCAGAGGUCCAGUAUGUCUGGAAACAUGGAGCAAGAGUCAGUAAUUGUAGCAAAAGCCAAUGGACAGUGCAGGUGAUGGAACAUUCAAAGAAAGAAAAAUGGAUUAGUAAGUUCAUAGUAGAUGUAGGGUUGCAAUCUGUUGACUGGAGGAGAGUUGCAGAUUACUUGAUCUUGAAUCUGAAGCUGGAGAGUGAGUUUAUUGUAACUCUCUUUGAUAAAUGUAAAGCUCUAGUUGAUUUUGGGGAGAACAUAGUAGACUUCUCAGUAGUUAAUUUUCAGACUGAUCUAGGAACUAUUACAAUCUUCAGAUGGAAUCCUCUCUCUAAUGCCAAAAACUUCUCUAUUGAAGAUGGGGUUCUGGUAUGGAUAAUCGGAUUGCCUUUCCAUCUUUGGAAGCAAGACGUAGCAGAUGUCAUUGCACUUAUGUGUGGAGGGAGACUGGAUGGUGCUUACUAAGGAGACCUCCAUUCUGCAGCUAUUCUCCUGAGCUGAGUGAGGCUUGAAGAUAUACCAAGGAAGGUGGAAAUAAGAGUGGAGGGUAUUUUCGUUUCCGUCUGGUUGGCUUCCUUCAUUGAAGCAGGCUUGUGGAAGGAAGCUAGAAUGGAGGGAGGUGAGGAGUUUGAGGAAGAAGUUGUACGUGGAAGAAGCAUAUUAGAGGAUUCAAAAAAGACUAGAAGUUAUACUAAAAUGGGUCAACAGCUUCUGGGGAGCCAAAAAGACUUGGGACAUAUGGAAAGUCAAAGGCUUAAAACACAAGAAACCCCUCUGACGCAUAGCAGAACCUUUGCACGGGUGGUUGGGAACACUACCACGGAAAACUUUAAUUUUGAAGAGGGGAGUAAAGAGGUGACAAGUGUUAAAUAGCAAGUUGAAUUAAGAAACAGGGCGGUUGAACCAGGAGUUGAGGUGGGUGACAUAACUGAAAACCCUAUUGAUCUCAAUACUGAUUUUAUGACAUGAUUCACUUUAAUUGGACUUCUUUAAUGGUGGUGCAACAGUGAAGUGGAAGAGCUGUCAAUAGUAAAGAUGGGAAGGAAGAUGUGUUCCAUGGAAGAAUGGU